AGCCGCCGCGGGAACACCGGCGGCCCGAGUGGUGAUCGUGAUUAUUGGGUCUAAAGGGUCCGUAGCCGGUUGGUCAGUCCUCCGGGAAAUCUGAUAGCUCAACUAUUAGGCUUUCGGGGGAUACUGCCAGACUUGGAACCGGGAGAGGUAAGAGGUACUACAGGGGUAGGAGUGAAAUCUUGUAAUCCCUGUGGGACCACCUGUGGCGAAGGCGUCUUACCAGAACGGGUUCGACGGUGAGGGACGAAAGCUGGGGGCACGAACCGGAUUAGAUACCCGGGUAGUCCCAGCCGUAAACGAUGCUCGCUAGGUGUCAGGCAUGGCGCGACCGUGUCUGGUGCCGCAGGGAAGCCGUGAAGCGAGCCACCUGGGAAGUACGGCCGCAAGGCUGAAACUUAAAGGAAUUGGCGGGGGAGCACAACAACGGGUGGAAGCCUGCGGUUUAAUUGGACUCAACGCCGGACAACUCACCGGGGGCGACAGCAAUAUGUAGGCCAAGCUGAAGACUUUGCCUGAAUCGCUGAGAGGAGGUGCAUGG
rnacentral:rRNA from 1 species